UUAUUGUCAGUUGACACCAUGACGUCCAUAAACAUUUCAACUUUACUUUUAAUUUUUAUUAUUUUUCUAAUUCAAAUUGCAAGUAUUUAUUGUGCACCACAGGGUUUGAACUUCGGAUUACCGUCACUACUUGGUGUCAAUAGUGCUUUAUUAAAUGUAUCUCUCGGCUAACAAAUGAAGGUUUUAUUUGGAGAUACAGAUAAGCAGAUUCGGAUUUCAAGUUAUACGAUGUGGCUGUAAUUAUUAUAAAAUAAAAUUUA